rnacentral:rRNA from 1 species
UACGUAGGGGGCAAGCGUUGUCCGGAAUCAUUGGGCGUAAAGCGCGUGUAGGCGGCCAGAAAAGUCCGCUGUGAAAACUCGAGGCUCAACUUCGAGCUGUCGGUGGAAACUUUCUGGCUAGAGUCCGGAAGAGGAGAAUGGAAUUCCUGGUGUAGCGGUGAAAUGCGCAGAUAUCAGGAAGAACACCCGUGGCGAAGGCGGUUCUCUGGGACGGUACUGACGCUGAGACGCGAAGGCCAGGGGAGCAAACAGG